GGAUCUCCAACAAUUAUGAAAAACGUUACACUGCCCUGUGGCUUGCUGAUGUUGCUUUUAUAUUUCCCUGGAAAUUUGCUCCCUUUGUACUUUUUACACAGACUGUACAGACAGAUUGAUGUUGGGAACAUAUUCAGGAUAGGAAGAGCCUGAAUGUAAAUCAGAGCACAUUAAUGAUGAUGAGCAGGGUGUCUCUAAGAGAUUCUCAGCAGAAAAUGUCACCUCCUACAAAGAAAGAUUUUCGCCAUGUUUUCCUGAUGGACUAAUAGUUGGAAGAAAGAAAGGAGGAUGAUAUUCUACUGCGAUGGUGCUGCUGCCUCUGAAAUGGCUAGAAUCAUUUCAGGCACCAUCAUAGCUAAGGGCACAGCUGUUUAUUCUGAGCUAAUUGGAGCAGAGUUAAAACCAAGAGAAGUAAACUGCAAGAAAGUAAAGUUUGAGAAGAAAGAGGAUAACCUCUUCAGUGAACAAAUGUCAAGCAUACGUGGCUGCUCAGAAGAUAUACAACAACUUUAUCCAUGAAUCUCCAGGACAGCUUACUAGGAAGUAUAGCUCCUGCUCAACGAUAUUUCUAGAUGACAGCACACUCAGCGAGCCUAGUCGUAGAAAAACAGUAGAAUGUGUGAGCAUAGCAGUAUAUAAUCUCAUAAAGAACAGAGAUGCAAACAGAUGCCUGGAUAUUUUUGAUGAGCAAUUGCAUCCACUCACAGCAAGUGUCACUUUUUUUGAGUUUAUCUUUUUUUUCUCACAGGAUUGUGUUUCUUUCAUGCUAUUUUCCUUUGACAUUCAUUGCCAGAAGUAAAUCAUUCCCAUCUGUUUGAAUUUAAGUCAUGUACUUGCUCGUCUUGUUGUAACAAAUCUUCUCAGAAAAGGAG
ensembl:lncRNA